GCUCGGGCUGGCGCAGCAGGUCCAGGGCCGCGCGGCCGGUGACCGCGGCGGGCUCGCGCGCCGCGGGCCUGCGCGCCUCGGGGUUGCGCGCCCCGGUC
rnacentral:tRNA from 1 species